UGGGUAACCUGCCCAAGAGAUCGGGAUAACACCUGGAAACAGAUGCUAAUACCGGAUAACAACAGAUGAUGCCUAUCAACUGUUUAAAAGAUGGUUCUGCUAUCACUCUUGGAUGGACCUGCGGUGCAUUAGCUAGUUGGUAGGGUAACGGCCUACCAAGGCGAUGAUGCAUAGCCGAGUUGAGAGACUGAUCGGCCACAUUGGGACUGAGACACGGCCCAAACUCCUACGGGAGGCAGCAGCCC
rnacentral:rRNA from 1 species